CCAGCGCCCCGGAAGCCGAGACGACCUGUUUUCCGCCUGCUGGGGAAGGAAUUGCCACCGAGAUCGGACACGGUAGGGGAGGUUGUUUACACGGCGUAAAGUGAGGCCGAGUUCCGGCCACCCAGCAGGGGACAUGAGCCAGAAUGAAGAUAGUAGUGGUGUAUAUGCAUUUGGGUGCAGCAGUAACUAACUCAUCAAGGGCAAAGUCAGUAUAUGAGCUCUUUUAAAGGAGAACACGUGGUUUCCAUGUUCUGAGCUUCUGAGAUUGUGAAGGCAUAACUCCUUUGAUUUGCUUACAGCCAAGUGGAGUUGCACAGCUCAUGGUGGCAGUAUAGCCACUUAAGUAUUCUAAAGGAGAUUUAUCAGCAGGUUGCAGGUGAACAUGGCCUUGAGGUAAAUCCUGCCCCUUGUGAAAUUUAGUUUCAGCAGAUUGUUCUUGGCAUCUUAAGGAAUUAGAAUAUUUUACAAACAAUCAAAAGUUUUGUUUUGGUUCUUUUUUAGACUUGCUUUUGCUUCUUGUAGAAGAUGAGAAACAUGUUUAAACAAAGGUUCUUUAUGCUGAAUAAAUAGGUUGCUUGAA